CUGCCUGUAGCUCAGAAGGAAGAGCAUCGGCGUCCGAAGCCGAAGGGCGCAGGUUCGAUUCCUGCCAGGCAGGCCA
rnacentral:tRNA from 1 species